CAGCCCCAGUAUGCGUGGCUGAAAGAGCUGGGGCUCCGCGAGGAAAACGAGGGCGUGUAUAAUGGCAGCUGGGGAGGCCGGGGAGAGGUUAUUACGACCUAUUGCCCUGCUAACAACGAGCCAAUAGCAAGAGUCCGACAGGCCAGUGUGGCAGACUAUGAAGAAACUGUAAAGAAAGCAAGAGAAGCAUGGAAAAUCUGGGCAGAUAUUCCUGCUCCAAAACGAGGAGAAAUAGUAAGACAGAUUGGCGAUGCCUUGCGGGAGAAGAUCCAAGUACUAGGAAGCUUGGUGUCUUUGGAGAUGGGGAAAAUCUUAGUGGAAGGUGUGGGUGAAGUUCAGGAGUAUGUGGAUAUCUGUGACUAUGCUGUUGGUUUAUCAAGGAUGAUUGGAGGACCUAUCUUGCCUUCUGAAAGAUCUGGCCAUGCACUGAUUGAGCAGUGGAAUCCCAUAGGCCUGGUUGGAAUCAUCACGGCAUUCAAUUUCCCUGUGGCAGUGUAUGGUUGGAACAACGCCAUCGCCAUGAUCUGUGGAAAUGUCUGCCUCUGGAAAGGAGCUCCAACCACUUCCCUCAUUAGUGUGGCUGUCACAAAGAUAAUAGCCAAGGUUCUGGAGGACAACAAGCUGCCUGGUGCAAUUUGUUCCUUGACUUGUGGUGGAGCAGAUAUUGGCACAGCAAUGGCCAAAGAUGAACGAGUGAACCUGCUGUCCUUCACUGGGAGCACUCAGGUGGGAAAACAGGUGGGCCUGAUGGUGCAGGAGAGGUUUGGGAGAAGUCUGUUGGAACUUGGAGGAAACAAUGCCAUUAUUGCCUUUGAAGAUGCAGACCUCAGCUUAGUUGUUCCAUCAGCUCUCUUCGCUGCCGUGGGAACAGCUGGCCAGAGGUGUACCACUGUGAGGCGACUGUUUAUACAUGAAAGCAUCCAUGAUGAGGUUGUAAACAGACUUAAAAAGGCCUAUGCACAGAUCCGAGUUGGGAACCCAUGGGACCCUAAUGUUCUCUAUGGGCCACUCCACACCAAGCAGGCAGUGAGCAUGUUUCUUGGAGCAGUGGAAGAAGCAAAGAAAGAAGGUGGCACAGUGGUCUAUGGGGGCAAGGUUAUGGAUCGCCCUGGAAAUUACGUAGAACCGACAAUUGUGACAGGUCUUGGCCACGAUGCGUCCAUUGCACACACAGAGACUUUUGCUCCGAUUCUCUAUGUCUUUAAAUUCAAGAAUGAAGAAGAGGUCUUUGCAUGGAAUAAUGAAGUAAAACAGGGACUUUCAAGUAGCAUCUUUACCAAAGAUCUGGGCAGAAUCUUUCGCUGGCUUGGACCUAAAGGAUCAGACUGUGGCAUUGUAAAUGUCAACAUUCCAACAAGUGGGGCUGAGAUUGGAGGUGCCUUUGGUACGUAGAGAAUCAUUUCUCCUUUUCCAUAUUGGGCAGCAAAGAAAAACCAGUAGUAGCUUUUAGAAAAGGCUGACCAAGAGACUGAAACACUCCUUAUAUUCUGAAAUAACCUUAUGUGAUCUAACAUAUCUGAAAAAACUUACAUUCUGUAUUCAAAGUUAUCGCAUAGAGUCCUGCGUCAUCUCCUCAGAGGCAGCAUCAGGUUAGAGCAGAGGCCCUUAACUUGAAAUGUGUGAACCCCUGAAAUGAUGGCAUUUGUUUUCUGGGGAGAAGUUUCCAGACCCAAAAAAGAUUAAGAAUCCCUGCUUCAAAGCCAGAAAAUUUUAUAUGAAAUAUUCUGGUUUUUAUUUGCAAAAUAGGCAUAUAAAUGUUAAACAUACUCUUUUUCACUAGAUGGAAUACAAAGUUGUUUCUUUUCACUG
rnacentral:sRNA from 1 species